rnacentral:tRNA from 1 species
GUUAAUGUAGCUAAUCAAGCAGGGACUGUACUGAAAAUACCUAGACGA